UAGUCCACGCCGUAAACGAUGAUCACUCGUUGUGUGCGAUAUACCGUACGUGACUGAGCGAAAGCAUUAAGUGAUCCACCUGGGGAGUACGUUCGCAAGAAUGAAACUCAAAGGAAUUGACGGGGGCCCGCACAAGCGGAGGAACAUGUGGUUUAAUUCGAUGAUACGCGAGGAACCUUACCUGGGCUUAAAUGUAGACGGACAGUUGUCGAAAGAUGAUCUCUCUUCGGAGCUGUUUACAAGGUGCUGCAUGGCUGUCGUCAGCUCGUGCCGUGAGGUGUCGGGUUAAGUCCCAUAACGAGCGCAACCCCUAUCGUUAGUUGCCAGCGGAUAAUGCCGGGGACUCUAAUGAGACUGCCACCGUAAGGUGUGAGGAAGGUGGGGGAUGACGUCAAGUCAGCACGGGCCCUUACGUCCAGGGGCUACACACGUGUUACAAUGGGCCAGUACAAAGGGGCAGCUACCUGGUGACAGGGAUGCUAAUCUCUAAAUCUGGGUCUUAGUUCGGGA
rnacentral:rRNA from 1 species